rnacentral:lncRNA from 1 species
UCCCUGUAUUCAUCCCCUUUGCAAAGUGACCUUGCAUAUUCUUCCAUCAAGAGGUUGUCAUACUUUGUCUAAAACAAAAGGAUUAUACUGCCCAGCAUUCUUCACUGUCAGGAUGGCCAAUGGGAUGAAAUGAGAAUUUACUUGGUGAGAUUCCUAAAAAUGGAAUUUAAAAGAGGAAGGAACUCAGCUUGCAUAUGCCUUUCACCCUUCAGUGUUCA